rnacentral:lncRNA from 1 species
GCGGCCAUGUCUGGGAGGGACUAGCAGAGAUCUGGGCCAGGAAGCAUCAGCUCAGGGCCAUCGGCCCUUUUCCUGGUGCCCCUUGGGAGCAAAGGGCCAGAUGCCCUAGAGGUGUACCUGGCCUGGGAGGCUUUCUUGGCUAUGGGGCACCCCCAGUGAAGGUCCCUUCCCAGUGCUGGAGUUCUACGGCCAUUGGUGCUUGCGGUGGCUGGCAUUGGAUUGUUCUUCCAAUCUCUGGGAGAAGACGGGCUGCUUGAGACCCUGUGGGCCCAUACUCAAACCUUUCUCUUUUUUUUUGACAUGAUUGAAGCAAUGCUAUGCCCAACCACCUUGAGAAGCCACCCACUCUUGCAACCCUGUUUUUCUGGUGUCCCUGUUCCAAAGGACGGGACCUUUGUCUUGGAGCGGGCCCAUCUCCCUUGCAUUCAUUUCUGUUUCACAUCCUUCUGCUAUCUUCACCUUUGCUUUGAUGCCACUCCAACAUGAUUGCUCAUACAGCAAUACACAGGAAUGGACUUUGCUUCCUUCUCCACCUGUACUCAGGGAGCUGCGACUCAGAGUCAGGAGUCCCUGCCAAAUUGACCAGUGUUUCAUUUAGUCAUUCCUCAUCUUCCCCACUGUGCCCCUCCCUGUGCACCCAGCCCUAUCCACAUUUUUUAUAUAUUAAUUAUCUCAUUCACCCUCCCAUUAAGCAAGUGUGCCUUGCCAAGAACCAGGCGCAUGCUCACUGACACAUAGCUCUUUUCUGUUGUCUCUGCCUCUCCCUAGGGGUGAUUUCUGGAAAACCUGUAGGAUGGGUCAUGUCAUUUGCCAGCUUCUGCCUUCCUUGGUUUGUGUUCCCUGGUCUGCACUUUCCCAAAGACCAAGGAGGACAUCUCAAAGCCCAGACCUUCAUUCCUUUUUUAUUUUUCUUACACCUACUAGAUGAAAACUGCUGCUUCCUACCCUGUGUUUUUCACGUGUGAGUUUCCCUACAGGUUAGAUUGUUGUAAUAUUUGGGCAAAAACUCUUGGAUCCAACCGAUUUUAUAUUUGCCAAGCUCCAAGGCAGCAUCCAGACCUAGAAGAUCUGAUCAGUCCCUAGCCCAAGGCUGUGAGAUUAGUAGUUUGAGUGUGCUCCUUUGGCGUGGGCCAUCACCAUAGGACAGCUGAACCCACAGAACAUACAACACCAUGAGUGUGAAUCCAAAUGUCCCCAAGAGACAAACCAGGUCAUGCCCCUAGAGAUCAGGGAACAGGGCAACCCUGGAAUUUUCCCAAACUGAAGUAAACUCUCAAUGUAGUCCUAGGUCUCUCGACUCUUCAGGAUGAUGUCCUACACAACAUCAACAACCAGUGGGUACCCUGUGCCCUAGGGAGAAGACUGACAGAAUGGCAUCCUGUGGCACCCUUGACCCAGCCUUUCUUUGAGGGGAGCAAGAGGAAACCAGACAAUACUUGAAAUGCAAUGCACCUGGGUUACCAUUUCUUGUCUCAGUGCAGUACCCAAUAAUCAGGAAAUUCUCUCUCCUCUUUACAAGAGAUAACGCCUGAUAAUGUGGCCACUACCACCGCCCCGUUAUUUGGCUAGGCCUGGGUCCUCCAGAUGAGACAUUAGUUCUCAGGUUUUACAUAGCCCCAAGACCUCCAGGGCAAGGAUCCCUCUCUUCCCCUAACCUUGUUUCUGCACUAAGAGCAAAGAUCCAUAGUCUCAAUGCCCUGCAGUAGCUUCAGCUCCCAGUUUCCAAACAUGGCGGCCAACAAGGCCUGACCUCCACCACCUCUGGGACCUGACAGGCCUUGCAGCCCAGGGCUCCUUGGUGGAUGAGCCUGGUUCCCUCGCUUUCACACCAACUCUGAAGGCACCCACUCAGGUGCCCAUGUCCACCUCCAGAAUUCUCUGAGUGUUCCAUACCUACCCUGUUACCUAACAUACCUACCCUGUUACCUAACAGAAGUAUGAAUAUACAGAGAGGGGCCAGAAGCCAUACUCAAAAAGCUUCUGCUUGAUGGCCCUUUUGCUCCAGUAAUGCCAACCACUCUGGCCUGCCAGACCUUUCCCCUUGCCUUUUGUCCUAAUCCAAAGGGAGUCCCAAAACCAGUCCAAGACCUUGAAGUGGGAUUUACUCUGCUUGGGUUCUCGGGG